rnacentral:rRNA from 1 species
GUCUGCAACUCGACUACAUGAAGCUGGAAUCGCUAGUAAUCGCGAAUCAGAAUGUCGCGGUGAAUACGUUCCCGGGUCUUGUACACACCGCCCGUCACACCAUGGGAGUCAGUAACGCCCGAAGCCGGUGACCUAACCGAAAGGGAGGAGCCGUCGAAGGUGGGACCGAUAACUGGGGUGAAGUCGUAACAAGGUAGC